ensembl:miRNA
AGUCUUCGUGUCCCAGGUGGUCUAGUGGUUAGGAUUCGUGGCUCUCAACCACGCGGCCCAGGUUCGAUUCCCGGUC